rnacentral:misc_RNA from 1 species
AACGCACGAGACCUGCGGACCUGCGGAGGGAUCAUUACCGAGUGCGGGCCCUCGCGGCCCAACCUCCCACCCUUGUCUCUAUACACCUGUUGCUUUGGCGGGCCCACCGGGGCCACCUGGUCGCCGGGGGACGUCCGUCCCCGGGCCCGUGCCCGCCGAAGCGCUCUGUGAACCCUGAUGAAGAUGGGCUGUCUGAGUACUAUGAAAAUUGUCAAAACUUUCAGCAACGGAUCUCUAGAU